UAAUUCGACGCAACGCGCAGAACCUUACCUGGUCUUGACAUCCCGGGAAUCAUUUGGAAACAUAUGAGUGCCUCAUUAGAGGAGCCUGGUGACAGGUGCUGCAUGGGCUGUCGUCAGCUCGUGUCGUGAGAUGUUGGGUUAAGUCCCGCAACGAGCGCAACCCUUGCCUUUAGUUNCCAUCAUUAAGUUGGGCACUCUAGAGGGACUGCCGGUGUCAAACCGGAGGAAGGUGGGGAUGACGUCAAGUCCUCAUGGCCUUUAUGACCAGGGCUACACACGUACUACAAUGGCAUGUACAAAGGGCAGCCACAGGGUGACCUGGAGCGAAUCCUUAAAACAUGUCUCAGUCCGGAUUGGAGUCUGCAACUCGACUCCAUGAAGUUGGAAUCGCUAGUAAUCGUAGAUCAGCAUGCUACGGUGAAUACGUUCCCGGGCCUUGUACACACCGCCCGUCAC
rnacentral:rRNA from 1 species